rnacentral:rRNA from 1 species
UACGAGCGGCCCAAACGUUAUUCGGAAUUACUGGGCUUAAAGAGUCCGUAGGCGGCGCGGAAAGUGGGGUGUGAAAGCCCUCGGCUCAACCGAGGAAUUGCGCUCCAAACUACCGUGCUUGAGGAACCUAGAGGUGAGCAGAACUGAUGGUGGAGCGGUGAAAUGCGUUGAUAUCAUCAGGAAUACCGGAGGCGAAGGCGGCUCACUGGGGGUUUUCUGACGCUGAGGGACGAAAGCCAGGGUAGCGAACGGG